AAAGGAUUGGUCAUGUGACAUUGAUUAGCAAAGCUACAAGUCGAAGCGUGUGGACAACAGGUCCAUAAUGAUGGGGAACUGAUGAGGACAUAGUAUACAAAUGAGACACACUGUAAAAACUUUCCUUAGACACAUUUGAUCAUUAAGCUAUCAGCACAGGUAUAAGGGUUUUAAAUGACAGAAUCUUACUCGAGCACAGACCUAAUGAAAUAUGUAUUAUACUUA